rnacentral:rRNA from 1 species
UACGUAGGGUGCAAGCGUUGUCCGGAAUUAUUGGGCGUAAAGAGCUCGUAGGCGGUUUGUUGCGUCGGCUGUGAAAUCCCGAGGCUCAACCUCGGGUCUGCAGUCGAUACGAGCAAACUAGAGUGUUGCAGGGGAGACUGGAAUUCCUGGUGUAGCGGUGAAAUGACGCAGAUAUCAGGAGGAACACCGGUGGCGAAGGCGGGUCUCUGGGCCGCAACUGACGCUGGAGGCGCGAAAGCGUGGGGAGCAAACAGG